UUCAUGCCUGAACUAUGCUGAAAUUGAAACAACACAGAAAGCAUUAGUAUGGUCUCUGCUCAAGGAUGACAUAUAAAUUAAAACAAUGAGAUGACACAAAAUACACUU
rnacentral:snRNA from 1 species